GUGCGGGAUGGGCGGGGGGCUGUCCUCCCGGACUCUCCGGAAGUCAACAUCUCCGGGACAGCUGUCCAGCGCAGUCUCUCUUCAGAUGGGGAGACGGAGGCGCAGGGCCCGGGGGACAGUGCAGUGCCAGGCGGUGACUAGGGACCCCAGACGCCCAUCUCCGCCUCCCCCUCCAGAUGAGCGCAUAGGAACAUGAAAUCCCCUGUAAACGCAGUUUCAGAGCAAGCCUGUGCCUCUCAGCCCUGGCUUUUCUGUCUCAAAAUGUAAAGACCCAGGAGCUGGCCGGUUGGGGGGUGGGGUGGGGGGAGAAGGGCUUCUCUGGAGCCCCCAGUGCGCUGAGGCAGAGCCAGGCCACGGCCUUUGCCUUCAUGACGGGCUGCUUCCCAGCUGAGGCUGUAGGCGGGAGGGAGAGGGAGAGUCUGGCCCAGGUGUGGGUCCUGGUUCUCGGGUGAGAUGCCUUGGCGGCUGAGUUGACUGUCCCAUGAAUCCCCCCACGGGUGGCAGGGCCGUGGGGGGAGGUGGGCCGGCCCUCCCCUCCCGCCAGCCUUGUUUGUGCAGUCUGAGCCCUAGGGGUCACUGCCGCUGACCUCAGAGUCCAAGAGUCCAGCUCACCCAGGAAGGACCUCUGGGCCGGAGGGAGGGGCGUGCCUCUCGCUGACCCUGUCAGGCCAGAUGGGUGACUGCCUCGCUCUGGGUCGCUCCCUGAAGGCGGGAGUGGGGCGCUGGGCUGCUGUCCCUGGGACCGCGCCCUGGGGGGCCUCUGGACGUGGGGCCCCGCGUUUCUCCACCUGGAGAGAGGCAGCCGAGCCCAGUCCUGAGGGCCUGGAAACGAGGCUUGCAGAGGUUUCUAAUGGUUUGUUUAUCUACACGUUCCCGUCCUGAACUUGCAGUUGGAGAGCAUGAUUUCAGUGGCACAGGUCACAUCCCAGGUGAACUUCAAAAGACGGGCCUUCCUCAACCUGGAGGACACCGAGGAGCUGUUUUCCUCGCCUUCCUACCAGUCUUAACACAUAUAAACGUGUUUUCUACCUCUCUCUCUCUCCUUUUUUUUUUUUUUUAGAAAAAGUUUUAUUAAACUUUGGAAAGGAAUUGUUGGGUCUUUCCCACUGGUGGGAAUUCAUGAGUUGCCUUGCUUGACUGUCCUGGGCUUUAUGCCCAUGUGUUUUCUUCUGGUCCUAACUUUUCGAGAAACGUUACAAUUUGAAAACAGAAAGCCUAACAGCUCACCAGGUAUUUUUCAUUGCUCGUUCACGCGGCUCCUGCCCACACGCUUUUACGGAGCAGAAGUCAGAGUGUGGGGAGCGUGUACUUCCUCACCAGGGCGCGUGGGAUCGCAGGGAGGGGGAGAACCAUGCUGGAAGUGCCCUUCUCUCUCUCUCUCUCUCUCUCUCUCUCUCUCUCUCUCUCUCUCUCAGUUGUUUUCUCAGGUUUCCCUGUGUGGGGUGGGCCUGCGGGAACAGUGCAAUGAGGACCUGGGUGGGUCACGCUGUCAGCUGGGACUCUGGUGCCGGGGAGCGAGCUGAUGCGAGUUUUGUGGGUCUUCAUGAACCUUAGGGACCCCCUGGAGACCUGGACCCCUCUCCAGUGAGGGGAGGCGGCCAGGGAUUGGCCUGCUGGCCCCGCGGUGGCUGUGGGUGGCACAGGCCAUGGUUUUGGGGCGAAAUCAGCUGGCCAGGGUUUCGGUUUGAGUGUGCGGUGACAGUGUGGGGACCUGGAGGGACACGUAUGCUGUUGGAAGAUGGUGUCAGGAGGUGAGAGCGUGGGUCCCAUGGCCCGGAGUAGACCCUCACACUGGGCCCUCCAAAGAGGGCCCAGAGCCCCCUGCUUCCUCCCUUCCCCUCCUUCACUCCGCCCUCCCAGGCUUCAGUAUGUUCAGGAAAAGUUUAGACCCUGAGCUUUGUCCUUCUGGCUCCAAAGUAAUAGGGCACCCCCACACCCCAGAUAAGUAGCCUGUAAUGCAAACCCUUCGGGAACGUUCAAAGUCACACGUCUUCCGGCGACUGUUGGCAGGUGUAUCUUGGGUUCAUGGUAAAGCUGCCGCGUGGCACAGCGAUCAGAGCCAGACGUAAAAAGUCCAGAAACAAAACCUCGGCGCCAAACCUGUGUUUCCUUCAUUUCUCAGUCCCAUUUUCACGAGGCUUAUCUGGCCAUCUUGUUUGACUCGUGGUAGGGCGCGCAGUUAACUGGAGUCGGUAGAACCUGAACUCUAAAAAUAGCAGGUCUCUGUCCGGCCGCAGAGUGCUAUGCAAAGCCGGUUCCUCUCACGUCCCCCAUGUGGGUUAGAGCUUCCAAACUCAGUGUUUCUUUCUUCUUCUUCUUCUUCUU